AUUGUGUUUUUUUAUUACGGUACUACUAAAUGUAGUUUAAAAGGGAAGUUUGGUGUGAAUCCAACGCUGUCCCCGCAACUGUAAAUGCUGACUGAAGACGAAUAGACCACUGUGCAAUGCAUGGGAAGGUAUGUCUGACGGAUGAAGCAAAGCCAGGAGACCUGCCGCGUUAAAACUACGUAC
rnacentral:ncRNA from 2 species